GGCAGCCAGCGCUACCAAAUUGUUUACCACUGUGUGAAAGACUGCAGGCCAGUGCGAGCUUGAUGUCGUCGAAAGCAAGGCAACGUAUGUUCUCAUGAGUUUGGACAUAUCUCUACCUGCCCUGUCCUCCCCACCGCUUCAUCAACUUGUCCAAACUGGUACAGUCUACUGUGUGAGAAGCAGCACAUUAGAUUGACAGAAGAAUCGAGUGUCUAAGAGGCUUUACAAAGAGCUAACAUUGCUGUGCUGUGAAAAUGAAAUCACGUGAUUGUUUUCUCCCACUCGACUCUCUUGUGGUGCUUUGUUUCCUUUCUUUGUGAUUCUGUAUCCUUGUUGGUUGUUUAUAAAGGAGCCCGUACAACAUGGAA